UCAGUCCGGCUGCUGGGACAGAAACGCCAAAGAAAAGCUGGAAAGGGAUCUAUGUUCCAGAGCAGUCCCAGGUGCGCUGACCCCGCUGCUGCAGUGGAUCCCUGUCAGCCUGCGGCACCCUGCUCUUGCUUGUGGCUGGGGCUGGAUUCCCCUGAGUACUUGGCACUAGAAGACUUUUUUAGGCUAGGCAAUGUUUUCAGAAAUGUUUUCAUUAAAACUGUAGCACUGCAGUAUCCGCACUCAGGAGAGCAAUGAAAAUUUGCUGGAUAUUAAUGUUUCACUGGCAGCAGUUAGUGGUGGCUAGAGCAAGACAGAACGAAAUAGAAGACCUGGGAAGGUUAAAAAUCGGUUGUCUGCCUGUUAAUAGCCACAUGAAAACCAAACCUCACAGCUCUUCAGGCACUUCAUCUGGACAUGUAAAAGCACUGAAGACAACCAUGUUUAGCCUAACACAUGAGUAGAGUGAGGCCUGGAGUAUGUGCAUGCUCACCCCAAUGCAGGCAUGCAGCCUCCUGCAGCUUCCAUGCACCAGGGGGACACGUAACUCAUGCUUCCCUUCACGUGCUCUCAUGCAGGCAGCGUGCCCCAUCUUUCCAACUGUAAUAAAAGAAGCUUCCCCUGGUAUCCCCCUGUGUUC
rnacentral:lncRNA from 1 species